UACGUAGGGUGCGAGCGUUGUCCGGAAUUACUGGGCGUAAAGAGCUCGUAGGUGGUUUGUCGCGUUGUCCGUGAAAACUCACAACUCAAUUGUGGGCGUGCGGGCGAUACGGGCAGACUGGAGUACUGCAGGGGAGACUGGAAUUCCUGGUGUAGCGGUGGAAUGCGCAGAUAUCAGGAGGAACACCGGUGGCGAAGGCGGUUCUCUGGGCAUGAUCUGACGCUGAGGAGCGAAAGUGCGGGGAGCGAACAGG
rnacentral:rRNA from 1 species